AUUGAACGCUGGCGGAAUGCUUUACACAUGCAAGUCGAGCGGCAGCGCGGGGCAACCUGGCGGCGAGCGGCGGACGGGUGAGUAAUGCAUCGGAACGUACCCAGUCGUGGGGGAUAACUGUCCGAAAGGACAGCUAAUACCGCAUACGUCCUGAGGGAGAAAGCGGGGGAUCGCAAGACCUCGCGCGAUUGGAGCGGCCGAUGCCGGAUUAGCUAGUUGGUAGGGUAAAGGCCCACCAAGGCGACGAUCCGUAGCUGGUCUGAGAGGAUGAUCAGCCACACUGGAACUGAGACACGGUCCAGACUCCUACGGGAGGCAGCAGUGGGGAAUAUUGGACAAUGGGCGCAAGCCUGAUCUAGCCAUGCCGCGUGAGCGAUGAAGGCCUUAGGGUUGUAAAGCUCUUUCAGGGGGGAAGAUAAUGACUGUACCCCCAGAAGAAGCCCCGGCUAACUCCGUG
rnacentral:rRNA from 1 species